UAUCCAUGAUGUGGGCAUUGAUUUAACAAAUCUUUAAACCUCUCCCAUACCUGAUAGAAAGUUUCAAGGUCUUUCGGGUUGAAGGUAGAGAUUUGUCUUUUAAGGCU